rnacentral:rRNA from 1 species
AAUCAACGCUGGCGGCGCGCUUAACACAUGCAAGUCGAGCGAGAAAGUGGGGCAACCCAUGAGUACAGCGGCGCACGGGUGAGUAACACGUGGAUGAUCUACCUGGAAGUGGGGAAUAACUCUGGGAAACCGGAGCUAAGACCGCAUACGCCUGAGAAGGGAAAGCCCCGCAAGGGGCGGCUUUCAGAGGAGUCCGCGGCCGAUUAGCUAGUUGGUGAGGUAAAGGCNCACCAAGGCGGGGAUCGGUAGCCGGCCUGAGAGGGCACACGGCCACACUGGCACUGAAACACGGGCCAGACUCCUACGGGAGGCAGCAGGUGGGGAAUCUUGCACAAUGGAGGCAACUCUGAUGCAGCGACGCCGCGUGAGCGAUGAA